rnacentral:rRNA from 1 species
UACGAAGGGGGCUAGCGUUGCUCGGAAUCACUGGGCGUAAAGCGCACGUAGGCGGCUUUGUAAGUUAGAGGUGAAAGCCCGGAGCUCAACUCCGGAAUAGCCUUUAAGACUGCAUCGCUAGAACGUUGGAGAGGUAAGUGGAAUUCCGAGUGUAGAGGUGAAAUUCGUAGAUAUUCGGAAGAACACCAGUGGCGAAGGCGACUUACUGGACAACUGUUGACGCUGAGGUGCGAAAGCGUGGGGAGCAAACAGG